rnacentral:rRNA from 1 species
UCUACGGGUGGCUGCAGUGGGGAAUAUUGCACAAUGGGGGAAACCCUGAUGCAGCGACGCCGCGUGAGUGAAGAAGUAUUUCGGUAUGUAAAGCUCUAUCAGCAGGGAAGAAAUAAAGUCCUUCGGACUUUGGACGGUACCUGACUAAGAAGCCCCGGCUAACUACGUGCCAGCAGCCGCGGUAAUACGUAGGGGGCAAGCGUUAUCCGGAUUUACUGGGUGUAAAGGGAGCGUAGACGGCAGCGCAAGUCUGGAGUGAAAACCCAUGGCUUAACCAUGGAACUGCUUUGGAAACUGUGCAGCUGGAGUGCAGGAGAGGUAAGCGGAAUUCCUAGUGUAGCGGUGAAAUGCGUAGAUAUUAGGAGGAACACCAGUGGCGAAGGCGGCUUACUGGACUGUAACUGACGUUGAGGCUCGAAAGCGUGGGGAGCAAACAGGAUUAGAUACCCCAGUAGUC